UCAACCCUAAAUCCUACAUCCCUCGUCGCGCCGCCGCCCAUCCGCCUGACUCCUAGAUCUCGCACCACCACCAUCGUCCCCUGCUAGGCUGCCACCAAUCCUGCACAGCGCAUCCCCACCACCCCAUCGAUUCAGGGUCGAGCUGCCCCGGCUCCGAGGAGACAAGGCACGGCCUCCUUGUUCCCCACCCUCACCAUUGUCUUCAGCAGAUGCAGAUGCAGCAUGCCCCUCCACGUCCUCGACCCCUAGGCGACUCCAUCACCAAUCCGCUCAUCCACACGUUAUUCUCCUUCACACCAAGGUGAGCCCCAACCCUAACUUACCUCCAGUUCCCCUGGCAUCCGAUUUGGGCAACUAGGGUUCUAUAAACUGGUUGGAUAUGCUCAGAUCGGAACAUAAAUGUCCUAUUUUUGUGACUGGGUGUUAAAACAAGAGACAUGGGCGGAGAUUUGUCUUUUCAAAGCAUCACUACUGAUUUGAGAUUUAUUUUGAAGCAAAUGACUGAUUUGAGAUUGUUGUACUGUUAUUACUUGCUAACCUGAAUUUCUAUGCUCAACUCACGAUAUUUGUUAGGUGUGCAAUAUGUCAAGCUCUUACCAGAUGUGUUCUGAUUUUUGGUUCUAAACCCUAAUAUGUCAAGCAAAUUGGAGAGGUAAGAUUUUUGGUUCUUGUUAAAUUUGUCUUCCAAGAAAGGAAAUACUGUAGAGUUCUAGAAAUACUGUUGCAGAUUUCCCAAACAGUCAAGUUUUGAAAUACUUAUUGAUAGAAAUUCAGUUAACACCAUUUCAUAUAAUAUCAGAACCUAAAAAACCUGUGUCUUCAGUUUGACAGCAUCACUAUUCUGGGCUCACUAUUAUGUACUUUGUGUGCAUGAAGGACAGGGCUGACCCUUGGAUGCCAUAUCUCCCCUUCGUCGCUACUUCACAUAGCUUG
rnacentral:lncRNA from 1 species